UCCGGCCGCCCGCGGAGGCGGCGGUGGGAAGCCGGGGCGGGGCCCGUCCCCGCCGCUCUACCCCGCCGAGGGGGCUGCGCCUAUCGGGGCUUCCAAGCCCCACCCUGCACUUCAGCUAAUUCUGCCCUUUGGGAAAACACUGAUAUGAAGCACACUUCCUUCAGAAAUGAAGUUGGAUCUGUAACCUUUGACACAACCACCAGAGGAAGGUCCUGCAACCACACACAUCCUGGCAAAAGAGCCCCCAUGCUGCUGAGGAAUGAAUAUUUACAUCAUGGAAAGUUCUCCAGCUUUCCUCAGACUGAAGUCAUGCCAUCAAGUAGAUGGCAGCUGGCAGUAACCCACAUCAGCAAAAAUCAGAAAAGCUGCAGCAGGGAUCACAGAAAAGAGCUUGGAACAGCACAGCACCAGGGCAGAUGGAUCUCAGCUAUUACAGACAAGUUGUAAAAUUGGGCACAUACUUAUGCAGCAGUGCCAACAGCCAGCAUCAAACAUCAGUGAGCAAAGCCAUGGGCUCUCAAGUGCAUGGUCUUGAAGACCAAGUAGGUCUCUGUUUGGCAAGACCAAUGAGACAUUCAUCUCUCCAUUUUCUCCUGGCAUCCAGGACUUUUGGAACAACUGGGAUUUUUUCAGACAGUGCCUGGAAGAGAAAAUUUAACUUAACUAAAUUUCAUAAUCUGAGUGAAAAGGUUUCACCAGCAUUUUUUUCCUGCUUUCCUUGUGUCAGACCAAGUCACCAUCCACACAAAUUAUCAUUUAGGCUAUCACAAGAAAUAGGUCACUAAUUCUUUCGAUGAGUGACUGGAAAGAAACCAACCUGUAUGGGAAUAAAAAUGCUCCCACUUGGAUAAGGUUAUCCUAAAUGUGGCAAUAGAGAUGACUACAGAAACAAGAAAGCAUUAGCCUCUUCCCUCAUUUGCUCCACACAGUCACUGUCACUCUUUGAUGACAAUCUUUUCUUAAGUAGAAAGGAGACACCCUGGCCAUUUAUGCUGCUGAAAAUGUGUUCUGAACCAGAUUCUUGUGUGUGGUUCCCCAUAAAUGCAGUGAGGGAUAUCAUGUUUAUAAAAAUAUUUUGUCUUAAGAAUACCAGUUAUUAUAAAAAUGACAAGGGAAUACAGGGAAAAAAGCAUUUCUGAGUGCACAAAGUUGUCUUAGAAGUGACAAGGAAAAAAAAGUUGUUUUGAGAGUGGAGAAAAGAUGACCUUGUGGUCUCUUUUUGAGAAAGAGACCACAAGGUCAUCUUUGCCAAAACAGGACCUGAGGUCUUAGGCUUAAAAGUGUUGAGAAACUGGGUAAAACAUGGACCCACUACCAAUGACUGGCAAGCUGCAGUCACUCCAGAAAAAAAUCAGAGGGAGGGACAGAGGAGUAAGGUAAAAAAUGCUUAAUGAUUUACUCUAACAGAGGAUCUCUGCAAGCUUAUCUUUGGCACUGAAGACUGAAGAUAAUAAAGACACAGAAGCAGGUGUUGAAGUGGAAUCCAGCCUUCUAUAAAGAAAGCCAAACUGUUUCAUACCAUUUAAAAGCUUCUGAUUAUGAAUUAUGCCAAAAUUAUUAUUGAUUGUAAUUAUAAGCAGUCUAUGUUAUUUAAGCAUAAAAUAAUGUCUUUCCUCAAAAUGCAUUAACAUAAAUAGGAAUACAAAAUGUUAUCUUCCAGACAGGCUGCCUCCAUAUUUGGAAUUAAUCUCUGACAGCUGAUCAGAAAUUAUUCAACCCCUACACAUAUUCUUAGUGAAUCAUUUAAAAAGGCACCUUUUGAAAAGGCAGAGUUAGGAAAUGACAAUACUUCAGCUGAUUCCUGUGGUCAUUCAAAAUGACUAUGUAGUGACUAUAAACAAACUGUGGGCUUAGAAAUGUUACUACAUAAACUAGAUCCCAAUCCAGAACAGCACUUAAACACAUUUUAUCUUUAAACAUGCAAGUAACCUUACCAGACUGCUCACAUAUGCUCAAAUACAUGUUCUGUUAAACAUGUAUUUGCACACAUGACAAACUGGAACUCUGGUUUGUAAAGUAUAAAAAGAACACCUAGAAGAAAAAAAGCUACAGGUUCAUGCAGAAAGAUGGAGCAGGAGGAAGACACAGGAUGAAUAUUCAUGUAGGUAAGGAGGCUGAGAAUAACAUAAUAAGAGGAGGGAAGUGGUAGGAAAUAGCAUGGAGGAUUAAAUGCCAAUAACCCACAGCUGUUAGCAGCUGACUCCUCUGUCUGGUAUUAAUGCUACUAGUAAUAAUGUGACUGCUAGUUCCCUUUCCCAGGAUGUAUUGUCCAAGUGCUUUCAAAAGGAACUCACAUGCAUGCUGUACUGAUCUCUUCCCUUAAAGUACACAUUUACACAAUAAAUACAAACUACAGAUACCUCCAGCAGUAAACUGAAAUAGCACAAAUGUUGAAAUAAAAACUAAGGUUCUUUGUUCUGCA